rnacentral:rRNA from 1 species
CGGGACGGGUGAGUAAUGUCUGGGAAACUGCCUGAUGGAGGGGGAUAACUACUGGAAACGGUAGCUAAUACCGCAUAAUGUCUACGGACCAAAGCGGGGGACCUCCGGGCCUCGCGCCAUCAGAUGAACCCAUAUGGGAUUAGCUUGUAGGUAAGGUAAUGGCUUACCUAGGCGACGAUCCCUAGCUGGUCUGAGAGGAUGACCAGCCACACUGGAACUGAGACACGGUCCAG